GCCCGUCUAGCUCAGUCGGUAGAGCGCCAGGCUCUUAACCUUGUGGUCGUGGGUUCGAGCCCCACGGUGGGCG
rnacentral:tRNA from 1 species